rnacentral:rRNA from 1 species
AUUGAACGCUGGCGGCAGGCCUAACACAUGCAAGUCGAGCGGGCGGCGGACGGGUGAGUAAUGUAUGGGGAAUUCACGAUAGCGGGGGAUAACUACAGGAAACGGUAGCUAAUACAGCAUAAUAUCGGAUAACCCAUAUGGGAUUAGCUAGUCGGUGAGGGAAUGGCUACCCUAGGCGACGAUCCCUAGCUGUUCUGAGAGGAUGAUCAGCAACACUGGGACUGAGAAAAGGCCCAGACUACUACGGAGGCAGGAGUGGGUAAUAUUUCACAAUGGGCGAAAUCCUGAUGCAGCCAUGCCGUGUGUAUGAAGAAGGCCCUAGGGUUGUAAAGUACUUUCAGUCGGGAGGCGUUACCGACAGAAGAAGCACCGGCUAACUCCGUGCCAGCAGCCGCGGUAAUAC